ACGCAAUUAAAUUUUUAAGAAUAUAAACUGUAAAAAUUAUACAGGAAAUAAUAUUGCAUUGAUUGUUUGAGAUCUAUACCAACCAUAAUGCGGACGAUGUAAAAGGCGCGUGGUGAAAUUAAUAAUCUGUACAAUUAUUCUUAGCGUCAUUAUCGUCAUCAUCAUCGGCAUCCUCGAGCACCGAACUCGUCGUUACGGAUAAUGACGAAAAACGAAUUAAAACUAAAGGGAAAUUGAAGCGUGUCCGAUCUGACACCGGUACGAGAUGCG
rnacentral:misc_RNA from 1 species